rnacentral:rRNA from 1 species
GAUGAACGCUGGCGGCGUGCCUAAUACAUGCAAGUCGAGCGAACGGACGAGAAGCUUGCUUCUCUGAUGUUAGCGGCGGACGGGUGAGUAACACGUGGAUAACCUACCUAUAAGACUGGGAUAACUUCGGGAAACCGGAGCUAAUACCGGAUAAUAUUUUGAACCGCAUGGUUCAAAAGUGAAAGACGGUCUUGCUGUCACUUAUAGAUGGAUCCGCGCUGCAUUAGCUAGUUGGUAAGGUAACGGCUUACCAAGGCAACGAGGCAUAGCCGACCUGAGAGGGUGAUCGGCCACACUGGAACUGAGACGCGGUCCAGACUCCUACGGGAGGCAGCAGUAGGGAAUCUUCCGCAAUGGGCGAAAGCCUGACGGAGCAACGCCGCGUGAGUGAUGAAGGUCUUCGGAUCGUAAAACUCUGUUAUUAGGGAAGAACAUAUGUGUAAGUAACUGUGCACAUCUUGACGGUACCUAAUCAGAAAGCCACGGCUAACUACGUG